rfam:Rattus norvegicus chromosome 8, whole genome shotgun sequence.
GGGGAUUUAGCUCAGUGGUAGAGCGCUUGCCUAGCAAGCACACGGCCCUGGGUUCGGUCCCCAGCUCUG